CACGAGGUCGCCGUAUGUCAGCCUGGGGAGUACAGAGCCCCAAGGCUGGGUUUCUUGAGUUGUGUGGAAAGCUCCGUGUACAUGUCCCGAGUUCUCACGAACGAAGGGGAGGAAGCCACGAAAGCAGAGGCCACGACGGAACCCACGUGGCAGCCACCUCUCACCCCACCAUGGUCACAGCCCUGGUGUGCAGCGUGGUGGCCUCUGCUCCCUCCACCUUCUCUCUUGAUGGGGACCCUGGCCCGGCUCUGCCCAGCCCUGCUGUGCUUAUCACCGAGAUGGGAGCCAAGGGCCUGAGACACCAGCGGUGUGUGCCACGCCCACUCGCCACCUGGCACGUCUCCCAGAACAUCAACGAAGCACGAGGCAGGAAGAGGACGAAACAGGAACAGCAGACGAGGAGGAGCUGAGGAGGCCCCUGUGCCUGCAGCAGUGAAAAUGGAUCCCGAGGCUCCUCGUGUUGGGGAAGAGGACGUGGGGUCCCCCGCAAGCCAGUCCAUCUCCGUGUCGUUCUGGGGACGCCGGACACAUACUGGAAAUAUCCGAGUUUCGGGAGAAGAGCGGGUCAGGCCCCUCGCCGUCCCCUGGACUCACUUUGCAUGGCUGCACCUUCCUCCCCAGGAAGGGGCCCCGUGGCUCCUGUCUAGCGUCCCGGGAGCCGGCCACACCCUGCCGAGACACACCUUCUUUCUGCGUGGUCUGGGCCCCUUCUCCGUGUGUCUCUGUCCUUCCUGUCUGCUCCCAGCCCCAGCGUAGGGUGGGGAUCAGGUCCUGGCCGGCUUAGGGCAAUGCCAGGCAGCAGCCGCUCCCUCACAGACCCCAGGCUCCCAGCAGAACCUCCGGCGGCUCACCCUUGGGGGCUGGCCCCACCCCGCCUGCCAGCAUGCCCUGCCUAGAGGGCAGGGGAGGGUCUGUGGCUGGAGACCAGGGCGGGUGCUCCGGGGAGGGUCUGUGGCUGGAGACCAGGGUGGGUGCUCGGGCCCCUGACAGACCCUACCUGGGCUUUCCUUCCCCCGUAGCCCCUUGUGAGGCCAGGCCAGGCUCACUGUCCCCACGUGCCCCUCGGCCCUGGGACCCCGCACCCAGGCCCUCCUGCUAGCC
rnacentral:lncRNA from 1 species